GGUUUCACGUUGCUUUGGAUGGAUGUUUCACCACUUCAUCUGUUCAGUUCCUGUUGUGCUAAAUGGUCCGCACGUUAUUUGUCAGCGGACUACCUCUGGAUAUAAAGCCGCGGGAGCUGUAUCUCCUGUUCAGACCAUUUAAGGGUUAUGAGGGAUCAUUGAUAAAACUCACCUCAAAACAGGUAAGUAAAAAAUAGAUCAUUUUUCCACAGUCCC